CUACGGGUUGCUCCAGUGGGGAAUAUUGGACAAUGGGGGAAACCCUGCUCCAGCAAUGCCGCGUGUGUGAAGAAGUCCUGCGGGUUGUAAAGCACUUUCGGUUGGGAGGACUGCUUCUAGCACUAAUAUUGUUGGAAGUUGACGUUACCUUCAGAAGAAGCACCGGCUAACUCCGUGCCAGCAGCCGCGGUGAUACGGAGGGUGCAAGCGUUAAUCGGAAGUACUGGGCGUAAAGCGCGCGUAGGCGGCUAGAUCAGUCGGGUGUGAAAGCCCCGGGCUUAACCUGGGAACUGCAUCCGAUACUGUCUAGCUUGAGUACAGGAGAGGAGAGUGGAAUUCCACAUGUAGCGGUGAAAUGCGUAGAUAUGUGGAGGAACACCAAUGGCGAAGGCAGCUCUCUGGCCUGAUACUGACGCUGAGGUGCGAAAGCGUGGGGAGCAAACAGGAUUAGAUACCCUAGUAGUC
rnacentral:rRNA from 1 species